rnacentral:rRNA from 1 species
AGCUCCAAUAGCGUAUAUUAAAGUUGUUGCGGUUAAAAAGCUCGUAGUUGGAUUUCUGCUGAGGACGACCGGUCCGCCCUCUGGGUGAGUAUCUGGCUUGGCCUUGGCAUCUUCUUGGAGAACGUAGCUGCACUUGACUGUGUGGUGCGGUAUCCAGGACUUUUACUUUGAGGAAAUUAGAGUGUUUCAAGCAGGCACACGCCUUGAAUACAUUAGCAUGGAAUAAUAAGAUAGGACCUUGGUUCUAUUUUGUUGGUUUCUAGAGCUGAGGUAAUGAUUAAUAGGGAUAGUUGGGGGCAUUCGUAUUCAACUGUCAGAGGUGAAGUUCUUGGAUUUGUUAAAGACGGACUACUGCGAAAGCAUUUGCCAAGGAUGUUUUCCUUG